UGCCAAGCACUAUAAAUCUUGACAAAAGG
rnacentral:piRNA from 2 species